rnacentral:rRNA from 1 species
UACGGAGGGUGCGAGCGUUGUCCGGAUUUAUUGGGUUUAAAGGGUGCGUAGGUGGCUUUAUAAGUCAGUGGUGAAAUACGGUUGCUCAACAAUCGAGGUGCCAUUGAUACUGUAGAGCUUGAAAUAAUUGGAGGCUGCCGGAAUGGAUGGUGUAGCGGUGAAAUGCAUAGAUAUCAUCCAGAACACCGAUUGCGAAGGCAGGUGGCUACGAUUUGUUUGACACUGAGGCACGAAAGCAUGGGGAGCAAACAGG